rnacentral:tRNA from 1 species
AUUAUCUUGGCAGAAGAGGAGUGCAACAGAUUUAGGAUCUGUGAAUAUGAAUAUAAUCAUAGGUAAUA